rnacentral:rRNA from 1 species
AUGAACGCUAGCGGGAGGCCUAACACAUGCAAGUCGAACGGGAUCCCCGAGCAAUCGGGGUGAGAGUGGCGCACGGGUGAGUAACGCGUAUGCAACCUGCCUUUAACUGAGGGAUAGCCCAUAGAAAUGUGGAUUAAUACCUCAUAGUCCUUUGGUCCCGCAUGGGAUGGAAGGUAAAGCUCCGGCGGUUAAAGAUGGGCAUGCGUGACAUUAGCUAGUUGGUAAGGUAACGGCUUACCAAGGCUACGAUGUCUAGGGGUUCUGAGAGGAUGAUCCCCCACACUGGUACUGAGACACGGACCAGACUCCUACGGGAGGCAGCAGUGAGGAAUAUUGGUCAAUGGGCGCAAGCCUGAACCAGCCAUCCCGCGUGCAGGAUGAAGGCCCUAUGGGUCGUAAACUGCUUUUAUACACCAAGAAAAACACCCACGUGUGGGUGCCCGACGGUAGUGCAUGAAUAAGCAUCGGCUAACUCCGU